rnacentral:rRNA from 1 species
GACGAACGCUGGCGGCGUGCUUAACACAUGCAAGUCGAACGGAAAGGCCCUGCUUUUGUGGGGUGCUCGAGUGGAGAACGGGUGAGUAACACGUGAGUAACCUGCCCUUGACUUUGGGAUAACUUCAGGAAACUGGGGCUAAUACCGGAUAGGAGCUCCUGCUGCAUGGUGGGGGUUGGAAAGUUUCGGCGGUUGGGGGUGGACUCGCGGCUUAUCAGCUUGUGGGUGGGGUAGUGGCUUACCAAGGCUUUGACGGGUAGCCGGCCUGAGAGGGUGACCGGCAACAUUGGGACUGAGAUACGGCCAAGACUCCUACGGGAGGCAGCAGCGGGGAAUAUUGCACAAUGGGCGGAAGCCUGAUGCAGCAACGCCGCGUGCGGGAUGACGGCCUUCGGGUUGUAAACCGCUUUCGCCUGUGACGAAGCGUGAGUGACGGUAAUGGGUAAAGAAGCACCGGCUAACUACGUGCCAGCCGCCGCCGUAACAC